rnacentral:rRNA from 1 species
UGAACAUUGACCCUACAUGUGUAGGAUAGGUGGGAGGCUUUGAAGCACGUACGCCAGUAUGUGUGGAGCCGUCCUUGAAAUACCACCCUUGUAGUGUUGAUGUUCUAACGUUGACCCCUAAUCGGGGUUGCGGACAGUGCCUGGUGGGUAGUUUGACUGGGGCGGUCUCCUCCCAAAGAGUAACGGAGGAGCACGAAGGUGGGCUAAUCACGGUUGGACAUCGUGAGGUUA